AUGACUGAAGUUACCGUGGGCUGUCUGGUCUCUGGCUUCUUUCCCGAACCAGUCAAAGUACAGUGGAAUUCAGGAUCCUCCUCUGACAUCCGGACCUUCCCCGCUCUACUGGAUUCAUCCAGUGGCCGCUACACCCUCAGCAGCCAGCUCACCAUCCCAACCAGCACUUGGGAAUCAGAGAAGCUUCAAUGCCGUAUUGCACAUACAGCUACCAGCUCCACAAGCAACAAAGAGAUUGGACCCUGUGAAAAGAAAGAUCCCGUAGCCCCAAAGAUCCGCUUGCUCCAUUCCUCCUGCAAGGCCAGCUCCGGAGAUGCCACCAUUGAGCUAAUGUGCGUUAUCUCCAGCUUCUACCCCAACAAUGUGACGGUAAAUUGGCUGGUGAGUGGGAAACCUAUGUCGCAACCCUCAUUCACUGAGCAGCCCUGGAAAGACACACGUGGGUACACCUUCAGUACCAUCAGCACAGUCAACAUUAGCCAAGCAGACUGGGAGGAUGGGAAUGUAUACGUCUGCCAGGUGUCCCACACAGCAACCCAAACUUCUGUGAGAAGCAAAGCCAAGAUCUGUGAAGACUCCUCAGGAACUCCCCUCAAAGUUUUCAUCCUACCCCCAAGCCCCAACGACCUUUACAUGGAUAAGCAACCCAAACUCAGCUGCGUGGUAGUCAACUUAGAGAGCGAAGAGGAAGAACUGGAAGUGACCUGGUCACAGCAGACAGCAGGAAGUCUAAGCCCUGAGCCACUUGCAUGGAGAGAGGAGGUUAACAACACCUUCACAGCAUCCAGCUCUGUGAUCAUUCCCGAAAGCGACUGGUUGUCAGGGGCGACUUUUAUCUGCACAGUGAAACACCCAUCCCUGGCUCAACCGAAAACAAGAGAGAUUAGCAAGAAGAAAGAAACCCAAGAAGCUCCAGGUGUGUAUCUCUUCCGCCCCCACGGUGAUGAGCUCAGGUCUAAUGGCGGUCAUGUCUCCAUCACUGCCCUGGUGAGAGGGUUCAAGCCCAGUGACAUAUCCCUGAAAUGGCUCAAGAAUGGGAACCCUCUGCCUGAAGCUGACUAUCUCAUCACCCCAGUCUUCAGUGAAGGCGAUGGUUUAUAUUUCUUGUUCAGCAAGCUGAAAGUCCCCAAAGCAGACUGGAACAGAGGUGAUGCCUAUACCUGCAUGGUUGUCCAUGAAGGUCUGACCCUCAAGUUCAUCCAGAAGACCAUUGAGAAAUCCCGGGUGAUAAUAAUAUCGACAGAGGUUGAUCUCAGCGACAAGGUUGAACAGGAACUGGAAAAUCUAUGGACCGCCAUCUUGGUUUUCUUCAUUCUCUUCCUCAUCAGUGUGUGUUACAGCACCACAAUGACAUUCUUCAAGGUAAAAUGGAUUUUCACCACUGUGGCAGACCUGAAGAAGCAACCUAUAGGCCCUGAAUACAAGAAUGUCAUCCCACAGGCAUUCUAG